GCGCGCGUGGCAUAACGGUUAUUGCGCUUGCCUUCCACGCAGGAGGCCAGGGUUCGAUUCCUGGUCGCGGCU
rfam:Ixodes scapularis strain Wikel colony gcontig_1108379589976, whole genome shotgun sequence.